AAGGGUAUAGCUCACUGGUAGAGGGCUUGCUUAGAAAGCAUGAGGUCCUGGGUUUGAUCCCCAGUACCUCCA
rnacentral:tRNA from 1 species